GGGCGGUUAGCUCAGUUGGUUAGAGCGCCGGUCUCACAUACCGGAGGUCGGUGGUUCAAAUCCACUACCGCCUACCA
rnacentral:tRNA from 1 species